rnacentral:lncRNA from 1 species
GAAAAAUGACAAAAGACUGAGGAUAUUUAUAAACCAAAUAAUAUCUCUAAUGCCAUAAGACCAUAUUUAAGAUCAUGUUCCGGACAGAUGCAUGUCGUCCCUCGUCUAGACAAUACAGUCUCUAUGUACCAAACUUUCACAUGCAUAAAGUUAUGGUAUUACUAGUCCAAGCCGAGAGCAGAUCUUCUGUCCCUAUUUUCCCCAUCUCUUUUGUGUUCGUUCACUUAAAUUUUGACAUCUAGUCACUUAUUUAAUUUUAGAGUUAAUUAAUGUUAAGCAAGAGGCUAGAUAAAUGCAAUUCCAAGAUCAUUUGUAACAUUCAUUCAGUAGAAGCUAACACUUGCUCAAACACAAUUUAGUGAACACUAUACAACAACUUUUCAUUGCUAAUAUUUAACUUACACACCAGUAUAGUUCUUAGGGAAUAGGGAUGUGAUAUUAAUAAUUAUAAUUCAUAAUUAAAACAAAUUGGAUCACAAGAAAUCCAUCAAGGCAUUAUGUAAUUAUAUACAUAUAUGGCGCAGUUACAAUCUUUACGUACGCACACACGUGUUUAAAAUUUGAACGUACAAAUGGACAAUGAUGCAACUGUUCAUACUAAUGUUAUUAUACAACAAAUUAAAUUAAUCCAACAAAUACCCAAAAUAGAUAAUGUUAUUAUACAACAAUGUUAUUUUAUAGGGAGAGGUGCAAGAAUUUUAUACGAUACUUGUGGGCAAAUGCGGCCGCGUUUGAUGUUGUGGGGCGGUUGGUCAUGGUGUCGGCGUCUGAAUCUUCUUUCUUCUCCCUCUUCCUCCUUUUUUUUCUUUCUUCUUACGUUCGACUGUAUAGGUUCUGAUGAAAUUUA